ACCCGAAGUCAUCUUAGCUGACCCGCAAGGGAGGCGGAUGCUGAAGGUAUGGGGGAUGAUUGGGGUGAAGUCGUAACAAGGUAGCUGUAGGUGAACCUGCAGAAGGAUCA
rnacentral:rRNA from 1 species